rnacentral:rRNA from 1 species
ACUCUUACCGGCGGAUGUCUUGGCUCCCACAACGAUGAAGAACGCAGCGAAAUGCGAUACGUAAUGCGAAUUGCAGAAUCCAGUGAAUCAUCAAAAUUUUGAACGCAUGUUGCACUUCCU